AUUGAACGCUGGCGGCAGGCUUAACACAUGCAAGUCGAGCGGGGGAAGGUAGCUUGCUACCGGACCUAGCGGCGGACGGGUGAGUAAUGCUUAGGAAUCUGCCUAUUAGUGGGGGACAACAUCUCGAAAGGGAUGCUAAUACCGCAUACGUCCUACGGGAGAAAGCAGGGGAUCUUCGGACCUUGCGCUAAUAGAUGAGCCUAAGUCGGAUUAGCUAGCUGGUGGGGUAAAGGCCUACCAAGGCGACGAUCUGUAGCGGGUCUGAGAGGAUGAUGCUCGACACUGGGACUGAGAAACGGCCCAGACUCCAACGGGAGGCAGCAGUGGGGAAUAUUGGACAAUGGGGUGCACCCUGAUCCAGCCAUGCCGAGUGUGUGAAGAAGGGCUUAUGGUUGUAAAGCACUUUAAGCGAGGAGGAGGCUACUCUAGGUAAUACCUAGGGAUAGUGGACGUUACUCGCAGAAUAAGCACCGGCUAACUCUGUGCCAGCCGCCGCCGUAA
rnacentral:rRNA from 1 species